rnacentral:rRNA from 1 species
AGCGAACGCUGGCGGCAGGCUUAACACAUGCAAGUCGAGCGGGCCCUUCGGGGUCAGCGGCGGACGGGUGAGUAACGCGUGGGAACGUGCCUUCUGGUCUGGAAUAACCCUGGGAAACUAGGGCUAAUACCGGAUACGCCCUUUUGGGGAAAGGUUUACUGCCGGAAGAUCGGCCCGCGUCUGAUUAGCUAGUUGGUGGGGUAACGGCCUACCAAGGCGACGAUCAGUAGCUGGUCUGAGAGGAUGANCAGCCACACUGGGACUGAGACACGGCCCAGACUCCUACGGGAGGCAGCAGUGGGGAAUAUUGGACAAUGGGCGCAAGCCUGAUCCAGCCAUGCCGCGUGAGUGAUGAAGGCCUUAGGGUUGUAAAGCUCUUUUAUCCGGGACGAUAAUGACGGUACCGGAGGAAUAAGCCCCGGCUAACUUCGUGCCAGCAGCCGCCGCUGUAAG